UUUCCGUAGGUGAACCUGCGGAAGGGUCAUUAUUGAAUAAACCUGAUGUGGUUGUAGCUGGCCCUUUCGGGAGCAUGUGCACACCCGUCGUCUUUAUCUUUCCACCUGUGCACCUUUUGUAGACCUGGAUGUAACACUUUCCGAGGCAACUCGGUCGGGAGGAAUGCUGUCAGCUUUCCUUGAAUGUCCAGGCCUAUGUUUUCAUAUACCCCAAAGAAUGUAACAGAAUGUAUUAUUGGGCCUUGUGCCUAUAAACUAGAUACAACUUUCAGCAACGGAUCUCUUGGCUCUC
rnacentral:misc_RNA from 1 species